rnacentral:rRNA from 2 species
AAACCAACAGGGAUUGCCUCAGUAGCGGCGAGUGAAGCGGCAAAAGCUCAAAUUUGAAAUCUAGCACUUUCAGUGUUCGAGUUGUAAUUUGAAGAAGGUAACUUUGGAGUUGGCUCUUGUCUAUGUUCCUUGGAACAGGACGUCACAGAGGGUGAGAAUCCCGUGCGAUGAGAUGCCCAAUUCUAUGUAAAGUGCUUUCGAAGAGUCGAGUUGUUUGGGAAUGCAGCUCUAAGUGGGUGGUAAAUUCCAUCUAAAGCUAAAUAUUGGCGAGAGACCGAUAGCGAACAAGUACAGUGAUGGAAAGAUGAAAAGAACUUUGAAAAGAGAGUGAAAAAGUACGUGAAAUUGUUGAAAGGGAAGGGCUUGAGAUCAGACUUGGUAUUUUGCGUUCCUUUCCUUUUUGGUUGGGUUCCUCGCAGUUUACUGGGCCAGCAUCGGUUUGGAUGGCAGGAUAAUGACAUUGGAAUGUAGCUUUACUUCGGUGAAGUGUUAUAGACUUUGUUGAUACUGCCUAUCUAGACCGAGGACUGCGUCUUUGACUAGGAUGCUGGCGUAAUGAUCUUAAGCCGC